rnacentral:rRNA from 1 species
ACUCAAAUGAAUUGACGGGGACCCACACAAGCGGUGGAGCAUGGGGUUUAAUUCGAUGACAAGCGAAGCACCUCACCCAGACUUGACAUGGUAGGAAUCCGGCCGAAAGGUUGGAGUGCCGCAAGGAACCUACACACAGGCGGUGCACGGUCGUCGUCAGCUCGUGCCUUGAGGUGUACUGUUCAGUCAGCCAACGAGCGCAACCCUCAUCCUAUGUUGUUUUUUCAUAGGAGACUGCCGCCUCCAAGGCGGAGGAAGGUGAGGAUGACGUCAGAUCAGCGUGCCCUUUAUGUCUGGGGCAACACCCGUGCUACAAUGGUCGGUACAAACGGAAGCAAACCAGCGAUGGUAAGCAAAUCUGAAAAAACCGAUCUCAGUUCGGAUUGAAGUCUGCAACUCGACUUCAUGAAGUUGGAAUCGCUAGUAACCGUGAAUCAGCUACGUCACGGUGAAUAUGUUCCUGGGUCUUGCACACACCGCCCGU